GGAACUCUCGGAGGAGAGGACCCCCGUUCAGCUGGGGCGCCCGGAUCAGGUGGAAUUUUGCAGCAGGAAGAAGUCUGCUCCAUGAGCCAACCUGGUAUUACACAAACUCCAAGAACAGAACACCUCAAGGUUCAAUUGGAAAAUGAAGUCAUUGAAGUUAUUGGUGGGCAAUUUUAGGUGGCAUUCUGAUGUACUGGGUCCCUGCAGAAAAGAAAAAGCCACCAUGGCUUGUGCUUCCCCCCUGAUGCUGAGAUCUGUGGCUGAAAGGAGAU
rnacentral:misc_RNA from 1 species